rnacentral:miRNA from 2 species
AUAGCAUCAUCCAUCCUACCC